CCUUCGAUAGCUCAGUUGAUAGAGCGGAGGACUGUAGAUCCUUAGGUCGCUGAUUCAACUCCGGCUCGAAGGA
rnacentral:tRNA from 1 species